rnacentral:rRNA from 1 species
CAAGCGCCAGCGCGCGGCUCAGUAACACGUAGCAACCUUCCCUCGAGCCGGGAUAACCCCGGGAUAUAAUGGGGAAUCCCCCAUAGGUGAUGGGUGCUGGAAUUCGGCAUCGCUGAAAGCGCUCAGCUUCCGAGGAUGGGUCUCUGGCGGAUUAGGUAGUUGUCGGGGUAACGCCCCGCCAACCCGAAGAUCCGUACGGUCCAUGAUAGUGGGAGAUCGGAGAUGGACCCUGAGACACGGGUCCAGGCCUUACGGGGGGCAGCAGGCGCGAAACCUCCGCAAUGCGGGAAACCGCGACGGGGCUAGCCGGAGGGCCGAUGCCUCGCAUCGGCUGUCGGGGAGCCUAAAAAGCUCCCCACAGCAAGGGCCGGGCAAGUCCGGUGGCAGCCACCGCGGUAAUACCAUCGGCCCGAGUGGCGGCCACUAUUAUUGGGCCUAAAGCGUCCGUAGCCGGUCUGGCAAGUCCCCCGGGAAAUCUGGCGGCUUAACCGUCAGGCUGCCGGGGGAUACUGCCAGACUAGGGACCGGGAGAGGCCGGGGGUAUUCCCGGGGUAGGGGUGAAAUCCUGUAAUCCCGGGAGGACCCCCUGUGGGGAAGGCGCCCGGCUGGAACGGGUCCGACGGUGAGGGACGAAGGCCUGGGGAGCGAACCGGAUUAGAUACCCGGGUAGUCCAGGCUGUAAACGAGGUGGGCUAGGUGUCGCGACAGCCACGAGCUGUCGCGGUGCCGGAGGGAAGCCGUUAAGCCCUUGACUCUGGGAAGUACGUCCCCAAGGCUGAAACUUAAAGGAAUUGCAGGGGGAGCAC